rnacentral:lncRNA from 1 species
GAGGAAAUAUGGAAUUUUCCGAAAGGAAUUUGAUAUUUGUAUACAACUCUUUCGCUCCAAUUCCUUCAGUUGAAACUAAAUCACAUUUCGACAACGCGACUCUACUUCCAAUCAAAGUCGCAUCAGUUCGAGAAGUAUAAAGUAUAAACGACACCAAGAAAAAUCAAAACCCUCUGUUAAACUCUUCAACAAAGGGUCUUGAAAAUUCUCUGCGUUUAAAAGAAAAAAAUGGCAGAACAUUUGACGGAGGAGCAGAUCGCUGAGUUCAAGGAAGCCUUCAGCCUUUUUGAUAAGGAUGGCGAUGGUAUAUAUAUUUUUGAUUUUUUUCGAAUUUUAAUUAAUCAUUUUAUUGCCAGUUCUGUACUUUUUUUUGGAACGUUUCUUAUCAUUUCUCGGUUUUGGGACUAGAUCUAAGUUUUUUUUUUCUUAUUUGUAAGAAGAAAAGUGUCACACUGGUGCGAUUUUUAUUUUAAAACUAUUUGCAAAUAAUUUCGAUUUUCUAAAGUACCGGAAAUGAUGUAUUUAUUUUUGUGCUGAAAUCUAGGAUCACACAGAUUUAGGUUGCUUUUUGGUUAUUGUAUUUGAUGAAGGCAAUUAAAUAAAAUUAGAAGGAAAAUUAUUUCCUCAUACAAGUGCUUGUUGAAUUGUUAUUUCAAUUUUUCUAGGACUACUUUUUACUUUUGUAUUUCUAUUCUCCAACCCAUCACUUGAGGUUUUCCGUGAGUAGCCUAUUCAAUUGUCUAU